UACGUAGGGAGCGAGCGUUAUCCGGAUUUAUUGGGUGUAAAGGGUGCGUAGGCGGUUUAUUAAGUCUGUGGUCUAAGCCCGAAGCUUAACUUCGGUUCGCCACAGAAACUGAUUGACUUGAGUAUGGUAGAGGCAAGUGGAAUUUCUAGUGUAGCGGUUAAAUGCGUAGAUAUUAGAAGGAACACCAGUGGCGAAGGCGACUUGCUGGGCCAUUACUGACGCUGAGGCACGAAAGCGUGGGGAGCAAAUA
rnacentral:rRNA from 1 species